rnacentral:rRNA from 1 species
UACGUAGGGUGCGAGCGUUGUCCGGAAUUAUUGGGCGUAAAGGGCUCGUAGGCGGUUUGUCGCGUCGGGAGUGAAAACCCAGGGCUUAACCCUGGGCUGGCUUCCGAUACGGGCAGACUAGAGGUAUGCAGGGGAGAACGGAAUUCCUGGUGUAGCGGUGAAAUGCGCAGAUAUCAGGAGGAACACCGGUGACGAAGGCGGUUCUCUGGGCAUUACCUGACGCUGAGGAGCGAAAGUGUGGGGAGCGAACAGG